GCUACAUUGUGCAGUUUCAUCGAGUCAUUCCCGACCAAGGAGGAGAGUUCGCAUCAUUUUUCUUUUUUUUUUUUUUGGUAUAUAGAACGGUACUGAUCUGUCGGCUACAUUGUGCAGUUUCAUCGAGUCAUUCCCGACCAAGGAGGAGAGUUCGCAUCAUUUUUCUUUUUUUUUUUUUUGGUAUAUAGAACGGUACUGAUCUGUCGGCUACAUUGUGCAGUUUCAUCAAUACAUUUCUCGGCCAAGGAGAGAGAUGGUGAGAGGAGGAGAGAGAGAGAGAGAGAGAGAAAGAGACUGGCAGGAUUGGCAGGAUUGGAUAAAAAAAAAAAAAAAAUCCCAUAAUUGGCAGGAUGGGCUGAGGCUUUUGGCGUCCUCCUGGUCGAGCAAUGGGUAAGUCUUAUCUAUUCACCUCUCGAGGCACAAUAUCUUGGGUUUCAUAAAUAAAGUUAGAAAUAUUUACAAUUUGAUAGCUACGAGAGUGAUAACUAAUAGUCAAUUAGUCAAUUGAUCCUAGUUCAACGGGUUAGUUUUAUAUCUUUCAAACAAUAAUAUAUUUUAUUUUAAGGUUCGGGAUUUAUUAUUAUUACUUUUUUUUUUACAAAAAUUUAAAAAAAGAGGGACAGUUUAAAUGAGAGUCACAUGGCUUCCACAAUGACCCAUUGCCCUUUGUCUUUAGGUUAAAGAAAGAGAAUGGGCACAGCCAAUCAGCGGCCCCUUAAUUUGCUGGAAAUGACCCUAUUAUUUUAGGGCAUUUGGACCUACCAUUUUUGGGAUAUUUAGUUAUUUACAUAUUAAUUCACCAACUCACAAUUUAUCUCUUUUCAUUAUUUACCUCUUUGGCCGACACAAAAUAACAAAAUUCAUAUCUUUUUUAGUUUCAAAAUAAAUAAAUAAAUUUUGUUUUAUUUCUCUAAUGUGUUUAUAAGCUUGAAGAUUAAGCAUACCGUUUAAUUCCAAACCAGCAAUCAUGUCCUGUAAAUUCUUAGCCUUAUUUGAUUUUUUUUAAU